rnacentral:rRNA from 1 species
GACGAACGCUGGCGGCGUGCUUAACACAUGCAAGUCGAACGGAAAGGCCCUGCUUUUGUGGGGUGCUCGAGUGGCGAACGGGUGAGUAACACGUGAGUAACCUGCCCUUGACUUUGGGAUAACUUCAGGAAACUGGGGCUAAUACCGGAUAGGAGCUCCUGCUGCAUGGUGGGGGUUGGAAAGUUUCGGCGGUUGGGGAUGGACUCGCGGCUUAUCAGCUUGUUGGUGGGGUAGUGGCUUACCAAGGCUUUGACGGGUAGCCGGCCUGAGAGGGUGACCGGCCACAUUGGGACUGAGACACGGCCCAGACUCCUACGGGAGGCAGCAGUGGGGAAUAUUGCACAAUGGGCGGAAGCCUGAUGCAGCAACGCCGCGUGCGGGAUGACGGCCUUCGGGUUGUAAACCGCUUUCGCCUGUGACGAAGCGUGAGUGACGGUAAUGGGUAAAGAAGCACCGGCUAACUACGUGCCAGCAGCCGCGGUGAUACGUAGGGUGCGAGCGUUGUCCGGAUUUAUUGGGCGUAAAGGGCUCGUAGGUGGUUGAUCGCGUCGGAAGUGUAAUCUUGGGGCUUAACCCUGAGCGUGCUUUCGAUACGGGUUGACUUGAGGAAGGUAGGGGAGAAUGGAAUUCCUGGUGGAGCGGUGGAAUGCGCAGAUAUCAGGAGGAACACCAGUGGCGAAGGCGGUUCUCUGGGCCUUUCCUGACGCUGAGGAGCGAAAGCGUGGGGAGCGAACAGGCUUAGAUACCCUGGUAGUCCACGCUGUAAACGGUGGGUACUAGGUGUGGGGUCCAUUCCACGGGUUCCGUGCCGUAGCUAACGCUUUAAGUACCCCGCCUGGGGAGUACGGCCGCAAGGCUAAAACUCAAAGGAAUUGACGGGGCCCCGCACAAGCGGCGGAGCAUGCGGAUUAAUUCGAUGCAACGCGUAGAACCUUACCUGGGUUUGACAUGGAUCGGGAGUGCUCAGAGAUGGGUGUGCCUCUUUUGGGGUCGGUUCACAGGUGGUGCAUGGCUGUCGUCAGCUCGUGUCGUGAGAUGUUGGGUUAAGUCCCGCAACGAGCGCAACCCUUGUUCACUGUUGCCAGCACGUUAUGGUGGGGACUCAGUGGAGACCGCCGGGGUCAACUCGGAGGAAGGUGGGGAUGACGUCAAGUCAUCAUGCCCCUUAUGUCCAGGGCUUCACGCAUGCUACAAUGGCUGGUACAGAGAGUGGCGAGCCUGUGAGGGUGAGCGAAUCUCGGAAAGCCGGUCUCAGUUCGGAUUGGGGUCUGCAACUCGACCUCAUGAAGUCGGAGUCGCUAGUAAUCGCAGAUCAGCAACGCUGCGGUGAAUACGUUCCCGGG